UACGGAAGGCAGCAGGGGGAAUAUUGCACAAUGGGCGCAAGCCUGAUGCAGCCAUGCCGCGUGUAUGAAAAAGGCCUUCGGGUUGUAAAGUACUUUCAGUCGUGAGGAAGGUGUUAAGGUUAAUAACCUUAGCAAUUGACGUUAGCGACAGAAGAAGCACCGGCUAACUCCGUGCCAGCAGCCGCGGUAAUACGGAGGGUGCGAGCGUUAAUCGGAAUUACUGGGCGUAAAGGGCACGCAGGCGGUUAAUUAAGUUGGAUGUGAAAUCCCCGGGCUUAACCUGGGAAUGGCAUUCAAGACUGGUUAGCUAGAGUCUUGUAGAGGGGGUAGAAUUCCAUGUGUAGCGGUGAAAUGCGUAGAGAUGUGGAGGAAUACCGGUGGCGAAGGCGGCCCCUGGACAAAGACUGACGCUCAUGUGCGAAAGCUGGGGAGCAAACAGGGAUUAGAUACC
rnacentral:rRNA from 1 species